UACGUAGGGACCGAGCGUUGUCCGGAAUCAUUGGGCGUAAAGAGCGUGUAGGCGGCUAUUUAAGUCCUGCGUGAAAUCCUGCGGCUCAACCGCAGACGGUCGUGGGAAACUGGAUGGCUAGAGUGCGGGAGAGGAGAGUGGAAUUCCCGGUGUAGUGGUGGAAUGCGUAGAGAUCGGGAGGAACACCAGUGGCGAAAGCGACCUUCUGGGCUGCACCUGACACUCUAGUGCGAAAGCGUGGGGAGCAAACAGG
rnacentral:rRNA from 1 species